GGUUCUGUCUCAUAUAGGGAAGACCCGUAUUUAUAAGAAGGGGGGAAAAAAAAAAAAUAUAAAAAAAAGAGGGGGGGGGGGGCGCGCGCCCACCAUAAAAUAAAUUUUUAUUAAUUUGAAAAGUAAAAAAAAA
rnacentral:rRNA from 1 species